rnacentral:misc_RNA from 1 species
AGCAAAUGAUGAUCAUCCAUCACAUGAUGUUGCUGAUGGACAGAAAUUAGUUAAGGAGAUUUAUGAGACAUUGAGAGCUAGCCCUCAGUGGAAUGAGACACUUUUUGUUAUAACUUAUGAUGAACAUGGUGGAUUUUAUGAUCAUGUUAAAACUCCUUAUGGUGAUGUUCCAAAUCCAGAUGGAAAUACUGGGCCUGCACCUUCUUUCUUUAAGUUUGAUCGGCUUGGUGUUCGUGUUCCAACGAUUAUGGUCUCUCCUUGGAUCAAGAAAGGAACUGUAAUAACCAAGCCAAAAGGACCUACACCAAAUUCCGAAUUCGAACACUCAUCGAUUCCAGCAACAAUAAAGAAAAUAUUCAAUCUUUCAUCGAAUUUUCUAACUCAUAGAGAUGCUUGGGCAGGCACAUUUGAACAUGUUGUAGCUCAAUUGUCAUCUCCAAGAACAGACUGCCCCGAGGUUCUACCUGAUGCAUCUCCUUUGAGAAGCACAACUACGGAAGCUGAUGAAACUCGGGCAUUGUCCGAGUUUCAGAGCGAAGUAGUGCAAUUAGCAGCUGUGUUGAAUGGGGACCAUUUUUUGAGCAGUUUUCCACAUGAAAUGGGGAAGAAAAUG